ACCGAGUGCCGCUCACGCC
rnacentral:siRNA from 1 species